GCGGGGCUGGCGGAAUCGGUAGACGCGCUAGAUUCAGAUUCUAGUGUCCGCAAGGACUUUCGGGUUCAAGUCCCGAGUUCCGCAUCA
rnacentral:tRNA from 1 species